AGUGAACGCUGGCGGUAGGCCUAACACAUGCAAGUCGAACGGCAGCACAGUAAGAGCUUGCUCUUACGGGUGGCGAGUGGCGGACGGGUGAGGAAUACAUCGGAAUCUACUUUUUCGUGGGGGAUAACGUAGGGAAACUUACGCUAAUACCGCAUACGACCUACGGGUGAAAGCAGGGGAUCUUCGGACCUUGCGCGAUUGAAUGAGCCGAUGUCGGAUUAGCUAGUUGGCGGGGUAAAGGCCCACCAAGGCGACGAUCCGUAGCUGGUCUGAGAGGAUGAUCAGCCACACUGGAACUGAGACACGGUCCAGACUCCUACGGGAGGCAGCAGUGGGGAAUAUUGGACAAUGGGCGCAAGCCUGAUCCAGCCAUACCGCGUGGGUGAAGAAGGACUUAGGGUUGUAAAGCCCUUUUGUUGGGAAAGAAAAGCAGCAGGUUAAUACCCCGCUGUUCUGACGGUACCCAAAGAAUAAGCACCGGCUAACUUCGUG
rnacentral:rRNA from 1 species